GCCCCUGUGGCUCAGUGGUAGAACUCUCAACCAUCACACCAGAGACCCAAGUUCAAAUCCAGCUCGUGACA